rnacentral:rRNA from 1 species
AAACUUAACAAGGAUUCCCCUAGUAGCGGCGAGCGAAGCGGGAAGAGCUCAAAUUUAUAAUCUGGCACCUUCGGUGUCCGAGUUGUAAUCUCUAGAAGUGUUUUCCGCGUUGGACCGCACACAAGUCUGUUGGAAUACAGCGGCAUAGUGGUGAUACCCCAUUACACGGUGCGGACGCCCAGCGCUUUGUGAUACACUUUCGACGAGUCGAGUUGUUUGGGAAUGCAGCUCAAAUUGGGUGGUAAAUUCCAUCUAAAGCUAAAUAUUGGCGAGAGACCGAUAGCGAACAAGUACCGUGAGGGAAAGAUGAAAAGCACUUUGGAAAGAGAGUUAAAAGUACGUGAAAUUGUUGGAAGGGAAACGCUUGAAGUCAGACUUGCUUGCCGGGCUUGCUCGGUUUGCAGGCCAGCAUCAGUUUUCCGGGGCGGAUAAUGGCAGUUAGAAUGUAGCAGUCUCGGCUGUGUUAUAGCUUUCUGCUGGAUACGUCCUGGGGGACUGAGGAACGCAGCGUGCCGUAUGGCGAGGGCUUCGGUCCUUUCACGCUUAGGAUGCUGGUGGAAUGGCUUUAAACGAC